rnacentral:rRNA from 1 species
AUUGAACGCUGGCGGCAGGCCUAACACAUGCAAGUCGAGCGAGUGGCGGACGGGUGAGUAAUGUCUGGGAAACUGCCUGAUGGAGGGGGAUAACUACUGGAAACGGUAGCUAAUACCGCAUACCAUCGGAUGUUCCCAGCUGGGAUUAGAUAGUAGGUGGGGUAAUGGCUCACCUAGGCGACGAUCCCUAGCUGGUCUGAGAGGAUGAACAGCCACACUGGAACUGAGACACGGUCCAGAUUCCUACGGGAGGCAGAAGUGGUGAAUAUUGCACAAUGUGCGCAAGCCUGAUGCAGCCAUGCCGCGUGUAUGAAGAAGGCCUUCGGGUUGUAAAGUACUUUCAGCGGGGAGGCGUUACCCGCAGAAGAAGCACCGGCUAACUCCGUGCCAGCAGCCGCGGUAAUUC